GCAUUGGUGGUUCAGUGGUAGAUUUCUUGCCUGCCACACAGAAGACCCUGGUCCGAUUCCUGGCCAAUGCA
rfam:Danio rerio chromosome 4, GRCz11 reference primary assembly.